rnacentral:rRNA from 1 species
GCGUUGAAAAGCUCGGGGAUGACUUGUGGGUAGCGGUGAAAUUCCAAUCGAGCCCGGAGAUAGCUGGUUCUCCCCGAAAUAGCUUUAGGGCUAGCCUCAAGGUGAGAGAUACGGAGGUAGAGCACUGAAUGUCCUAGGGGGUAUUGCACCUACCGAAGACUAUCAAACUCCGAAUGCCGUCAUCUUAUACUUGGGAGUCAGAC